rnacentral:rRNA from 1 species
UACGUAGGGUGCAAGCGUUGUCCGGAAUUAUUGGGCGUAAAGAGCUCGUAGGCGGCUUGUCGCGUCGGCUGUGAAAACCUGGGGCUCAACCCCGGGCCUGCAGCCGAUACGGGCAAGCUAGAAUUCGGUAGGGGAGACUGGAAUUCCUGGUGUAGCGGUGAAAUGCGCAGAUAUCGGGAGGAACACCAAUGGCGAAGGCAGCUCGCUGGGACGUUACUGACGCUGAGACGCGAAAGCGUGGGGAGCAAACAGG